UAAUGUCUGGGAAACUGCCUGAUGGAGGGGGAUAACUACUGGAAACGGUAGCUAAUACCGCAUAACGUCGCAAGACCAAAGAGGGGACCUUCGGGCCUCUUGCCAUCGGAUGUGCCCAGAUGGGAUUAGCUAGUAGGUGGGGUAACGGCUCACCUAGGCGACGAUCCCUAGCUGGUCUGAGAGGAUGACCAGCCACACUGGAACUGAGACACGGUCCAGACUCCUACGGGAGGCAGCAUG
rnacentral:rRNA from 1 species